GACGAACGCUGGCGGCGAGCCUAAUACAUGCAAGUCGAACGAACCGCGACUAAGUGCUUGCACUAAGUCAAGGUGAGUGGCGAACGGGUGAGUAACACGUGGGUAACCUACCUCAUAGUGGGGGAUAACAGUCGGAAACGACUGCUAAUACCGCAUAGGACAUAGGAUCACAUGAUCCAGUGAGGAAAGGUGGCGCAAGCUAUCGCUAAGAGAUGGGCCCGCGGUGCAUUAGCUAGUUGGUAGGGUAAAGGCCUACCAAGGCGAUGAUGCAUAGCCGACCUGAGAGGGUGAUCGGCCACAUUGGGACUGAGACACGGCCCAAACUCCUACGGGAGGCAGCAGUAGGGAAUCUUCCGCAAUGGACGCAAGUCUGACGGAGCAACGCCGCGUGAGUGAAGAAGGUCUUCGGAUCGUAAAGCUCUGUUGUUAGAGAAGAACAGCGCAUAGAGUAACUGCUAUGCGUGUGACGGUAUCUAACCAGAAAGCCACGGCUAACUACGUG
rnacentral:rRNA from 1 species